AGAAAGCCUCCCAGGCACCCAGAUGUCACUGCCAGGGCUGUAGGCUUCUUCUAGGAUGACCCUAGAAGAAGGCAGGACUCAGGGACAUGUAUUCAGCUGUUUUGGCAGGAAACGCUCUCAUGCCAGCUCAAGCAGAGGAAGGGGACAGUGAGGCUACCUACAGCAAGGAUACCUGUUCCCAGGAGCCCAGAGCAGCGGAUGGGAGGCAGGCCACACAGACUUCAAGGCCAAGGCUGUCAGAAUAUAGGGUCCCCAGCACACGUUCGCAGGUCUCCCCUCUCCUGUUCCCCUGUUACCGUGGUGUGGUCACUCCCUCUUACUCCUUCCCUAUCCUGGCUACCUCUCCCCCACCCUUAAUUAACAGGCUAUUUUUAGAGCAACUUUAAGUCUAUAGCAAAAGUGAGAGAAAUGUACAGAGACUUCCCAUAUACCCCCUGCACCCACAUACACACAGCCUCCCCACCAUCAAUGUGCCCCCCACCAGUGGUACGUUUGUUACGAUGGCUGAGCCUCCAUUGCCACAGUAGGACCCUGGGGACCCAGUGUCCCUAGCUUUCGUUAGGAUUCACUCUUAAAGUUGGACAUUCUUUGGGUCUUGACAAAUGUACAGUGACCUGAAUCCACCCCCAUGGUAUCUACAGAAUGCUUUCCUUGUUCCAGAUCUCCUGUGUUUACUUCUCCCUUUUGAUCCUUUCUCAACCUCAUGUCUUUUUGCUCCUGCGGACCCCUUACCCUGUAGGGAGGGUAAUGGUCUGAAGAGGCCAGCAGGAUUCAGAGCAGGGGCCCCUCUUGCCUGGGUCUGAGUCUGGUUCUGCUGCUAUGAUUGCUAAAAAAAAAAAAAAAAAAAGAAACCAGGAAUUAGAGACCUGCC